rnacentral:rRNA from 1 species
UACGGAGGGAGCUAGCGUUGUUCGGAAUUACUGGGCGUAAAGCGCACGUAGGCGGCUCAGCAAGUCAGGGGUGAAAGUCCCGGGGCUCAACCCCGGAACUGCCCUUGAAACUGCUAGGCUAGAAUCUUGGAGAGGCGAGUGGAAUUCCGAGUGUAGAGGUGAAAUUCGUAGAUAUUCGGAAGAAACACCAGUGGCGAAGGCGACUCGCUGGACAAGUAUUGACGCUGAGGUGCGAAAGCGUGGGGAGCAAACAG